UGUCUAGUUGUCAGCAGUAUGUACUCAUCUGACAAACAAUCAGACCUAAGAAUAAAUAAUACCCUGGUAAUUGGAAAGUGUGUUUCUGUGUGAUAUCCCUCCCUCCCUCUUUCUCCCUCCAACUCACUCUCCCUCUCUCUCUCCGUCUCUCUCCCUCUCUCUCCCUCUCUCUCCCUCUAACUCUCUCUCUGUCUCUCUCCAGAACAUCUGGCUUUCCUCUUUAGUAAUGACACAACAGCAUGCUGCUCAUAUAACACACACACAUACACACAUGCGCACAAACACACACACACACACACACACGCACACAUGCGCACACACAUGCGCACGCGCACAUGCGCACAAACACACACACACACACCCACAGAGAGAGAUGUUUUACAGCUGUAACCAUAAACAGAGGUGCCUGCGGUGGUACAGAGUUAGAGACUGCCCCGGUGACUACAUUAACACACAAUUUACUUGUCAGAGCAACAGUUUGUGUGUGUGUGUGUGUGUGUGUCUGUGUGUGAGGCUGCCCACCAAUGCCAGGAAGCAUUUCCGCCACUCAUCCGAGCAUGCAGGCCAAUGCAGAAAGAUCAAAGAGUGUAUGAGUGCGUGUUUGUGUCUGCAUAAGAGUGACUGACUGUGUGUGUGUGUGUGUGUGUGUGUCGGCUGGAUGCCAUCAGAAACAAUUAAGAGAGAAAAGACGGACAGAAAAGAAAGAUGGACAUAAAAAAACAAGAGGAGACAAAGACAGUAGACAGAGAGAAUGGGGAAAGAGAAAGAAAAACUGAUUCAGACAGAAGAUAAGAGAGAGAGGUAGGAAUGAGAGAGUGUGAGGGAUGGAGAGAGAAAUGAAGAGAAGAUGGAGAGAGAUAGAGGGGGAGAGGGGAGAGAGAGAGAGAAAGAGAGAGAGAGAGAGGGAGAGCGAGAGAGAGAGAGAAAGAGAAAGAGAGAGAGAUUGAAGGCAUAAUAUCAUGUUUACAGUACAUUCCAACAGGGUCGUUUCUAUAGGGAACAUGACAGAACAGAGACCCAUUCGACAUAUACCGGCCUACUGUGUGUAUAUGUGUGUGUGGAGAUGGAACUUGCUUUAAAAGUAAGUAACCUUUUCAUUUCUAUAGGGAACAUGACAGAACAAAGACACAUUUUACAAAUGCCAGGGUGUGUGUGUGUGUGUGGUGAAUAUCAUGUGGUGGGUAAACAGCUUAAUAGAUGAAGAGUAAAAGCAGCAACAAAGAACACUAGAAACAUUCACUCCCUUUAUCUAAUACAGUGUGGUACAUUGAUUACACCUCCUAAUGUCUAAAUAUCUCCUACUUCAGUUAAAUAUUCAUAGGAAGUGCUACAGGGUGUGCAGACUUUCAUUCCAACCCAUCAUCAAAGUGUAUUCCAGAAAGAGAAAAGUGUCCUAUCUCCAGACUUGGUAACCAGCCUUGGUAAUGAAAGCUCUGAUGUCGAACUGCAUUCGUUUUUCAUGAUAAAAAAGCAUUUUCUAGUCAUCUUCCACUACGCUGAAUGACAUGGGCGCCGGUCAGCACUGGUUACCAGCCCUGGCAGAUGACGUACGCUCCGGUGGUUGGGUCAAGCCACUCAGUAAAGCAGGAGCCACAGUUCCGCAAACGACACUCAGCCAUCGGGUUACCAAGACAACGUGCUUCACGGCAGAGGUCAGGGCAGGUCAUGGGGGCAGAGCCAAGAGGACAACCAGAAAACCAGUGUAGUUCAAAACAAAACCUACAACACACACACAAACCAAUGAGAAGAUACAAUAACAACUUCUACUCUAAAGCGAUAUAUUCACGACUCACUGGCUACUGUUUACACCCCCUCUCUAAUUGACCGAUGGUUACCUGCUGUCUGGGGUGAUUGGCAGCCAAAUGCCCCGUCCCCUCUGUGACAUCACCUUGUGGGUGUAGUAGUCAUCAGAAUGCUUUUGUCCUGCCCACUCCCGCUCCAGCUGACCAAUCAGGGCUUGGCUCUCCUCUUGAUCCAGAGCCAUCCAAUCCUGCAAAGGCCAGUGCUGAGGCAAGGCUGUAAUUGGAGAGCAGGUUCUUGUAAUGUGGUUAAGAGUGUGUUGAUUGGUUGAAAUUAGCUGCUGUUGGGUGUGGUAGUAGAACCGUAGGUAGUGCGGUCCGUUGUAGAACCAGUUACAGCUGUCCUUAUCGUAUCCGUCUGGUCGAAAUCCAAAUGCAUCAAAACCACCCCGGUCCAAACCAAAGGGGUCGAAACCAUAAACACUGUAGCCACUGUCGCUAAAGAGCUCUGACAUAACCUUCUCUCUUUCUCUCUCCUCCUCCUCUCUACUCUCCUCUCUCACCUCACUCUCCUUCUCUUUCUCCCCCUGAGUCUCCACUUCUCUCUCCUCCUCCCUCAUAAACAAUCCAUCCCAGCGCAUCCCAAACCAUGUAACAUUGUGGCGGUUAAACCCAUAGCGGUUGUAUCCAGAAAUGUCAUAGCCCUCUCUGUCGAUGUGGUCACGGUCCAAACCAUCCUUACUGUAACCAAGCAGGUCCCAGCCCAUGCGGUUGAAACCUUGUCUGUCAUAUCCAUUGCGAUUGUAACCACUGUGGUCAAAGCCAUCAUAGCCUUGUGCAUUGUAAUCAUAGGUGCUGUGUUUAUGGUUGUUUUGUGUAUCUUGUCUCUUUCUGUGAUAGCUGGCAGUGUCUUUCGCUCCUCUGUGGCGGCCCUUCCCUCUUUCGGCAAGGAGUGAUGAUGUCACAUUGCAGGGAGCUCCGAGGGUUAUGGGUACAUAUACCACACACAGUUGUUCCCGUGAAGACAUCACAUCAUCAGGAGCAAUGCCGAACGGCUUCAUCUUGAUGAGACGCUGCCUCACCGGGUACUUGGUGUGUAGGCUGCCAGACAGCUGAGGUCAAAAGAUCACCAGAGUCGACCGUCCACUCGAAGUACGGAACACCCAGUUGGCAUGACGACACAGCCUGGAGCUCCUGCUCCACCACCCGCAGGAAGUAGCGCUGCCAGGGCAGGAAGUAGGUAUGGCCACCAGCCUGAGGGGAGAACUCAGCUCUCAGCUUGGUGAAACCAUCCCAUACACCUACACAAAAUCCAACAUGAAAACAAGACUGAUCCAAGGUAAAAUAGAGAACAAAUGUCAGUUAGCUAUACACUUGGGUAGUAAAGCGUUAGCUGUACAUGAGUACCUGGCUAGUAGAGUUAGCUGUAAAAGUGUAUCUAGCUAGUAGAGUAAGCUGUACAGAGUACCUAGCUAGUAGAGUUAGCUGUACAAGUGUACCUAGCUAGUAGAGUUAGCUAUACAUGUGUAUCUAGCUACUAGAGUAAGCUGUACAGGUGUACCUGGUUCUUAGAGUUAGCAUUAGCUGUAAAGGUAUACCAGGCUAGUAGGGAGUUAGCUAUACAUGUGUACAAGGCUAGUAGGGAGUUUGCUAUACAGAUGUGCCUAGCUAGCUAGGGAGUUAGCUAUACAGGUGUACCAGGGUUUCCGUUAGGUACACCUAUAGAGGUGUACCUAGCUAGUAGGGAGUUAGCUAUACAGGUGUACCUAGCUAGUAGGGAGUUAGCUAUACAGGUGUAUCUAGCUAGCUAGGGAGUUAGCUAUACAGGUGUAUCUAGCUAGCUAGGGAGUUAGCUGUACAGGUGUAUCUAGCUAGCUAGGGAGUUAGCUGUACAGGUGUAUCUAGCUAGCUAGGGAGUUAGCUGUACAGGUGUAUCUAGCUAGCUAGGGAGUUAGCUGUACAGGUAUCCAGGGUUUCCGUUAGGAAGAUGUGGCGCCAGACAUUUGACCAUCAGUCUUUUAAUUUAACGGACAUUUGAUACAUUAACCUGAUUAGGGCGUCCACCCACGAUGCUUAGAAUGACAAAAAUCACAUUUAUGUUUAUUCAUAUAUUUAUUUAUUCAUUAUUCAACAGAAUAUGCAACUAGAAGAUGGAACGGCGGUGUCCGAAUUCGCGUGCGCACUUUCAAGAUGUUAGAAUAACUGCCACAUUUACUUUUCCUCAGCCAACAAGAUGGGUAACGAACAGCAAAAUCACUAGCCUAUGUCAAUCUAAUAUCCCCCAUAGGAGAAAAGUUGACCUAUUCUAUUGGUCAGCUUGUUGUUCUGUGUAAGAAAAAAUAGCCUAUUCCAAACAGACUCUGGGACAGUUGUGGGACGAUAGAUCCCAAAAUUAUGCAACCAGUAGGCCUAGGCUACAUGAAAAGAAAACUUGAAAAAGCAAUGAG
ensembl:lncRNA